UACGAAGGGGGCUAGCGUUGUUCGGAUUUACUGGGCGUAAAGCGCACGUAGGCGGACUAUUAAGUCAGGGGUUAAAUCCCGGGGCUCAACCCCGGAACUGCCUUUGAUACUGGUAGUCUUGAGUUCGAGAGAGGUGAGUGGAAUUCCGAGUGUAGAGGUGAAAUUCGUAGAUAUUCGGAGGAACACCAGUGGCGAAGGCGGCUCACUGGCUCGAUACUGACGCUGAGGUGCGAAAGCGUGGGGAGCAAACAGG
rnacentral:rRNA from 1 species